GAUGAACGCUAGCUACAGGCUUAACACAUGCAAGUCGAGGGGUAACGAGAGGAAAGCUUGCUUUCCUUGUCGACGACCGGCGCACGGGUGAGUAACGCGUAUCCAACCUGCCCCCAACUAGGGAAUAACCUGCGAAAGUAAGACUAAUACCCUAUAAUUUCCUCAGAUGUCAUCUGACGAGGAAUAAAGAUUUAUCGGUUGUGGAUGGGGAUGCGUCUGAUUAGCUUGUUGGCGGGGUAACGGCCCACCAAGGCAACGAUCAGUAGGGGUUCUGAGAGGAAGGUCCCCCACAUUGGAACUGAGACACGGUCCAAACUCCUACGGGAGGCAGCAGUGAGGAAUAUUGGUCAAUGGGCGGAAGCCUGAACCAGCCAAGUAGCGUGCAGGAUGACGGCCCUAUGGGUUGUAAACUGCUUUUAUACAGGAAUAAAGUUAGCCACGUGUGGUUAUUUGUAGGUACUGUAUGAAUGAGGACCAGCUAAUUCCGUGCCAGCCGCCGCGGUAA
rnacentral:rRNA from 1 species